rnacentral:rRNA from 1 species
CCUACGUGAGGCAGCAGUGGGGAAUAUUGCACAAUGGGGGAAACCCUGAUGCAGCGACGCCGCGUGAGUGAAGAAGUAAUUCGUUAUGUAAAGCUCUAUCAGCAGGGAAGAAAAUGACGGUACCUGAGUAAGAAGCACCGGCUAACUACGUGCCAGCAGCCGCGGUAAUACGUAGGGGGCAAGCGUUAUCCGGAUGUACUGGGUGUAAAGGGAGCGUAGACGGCAGUGCAAGUCUGGAGGGAAAGGCGGGGGCUCAACCCCCGGACUGCUCUGGAAACUGUACGGCUGGAGUGCAGGAGAGGUAAGUGGAAUUCCGAGUGUAGCGGUGAAAUGCGUAGAUAUUAGGAGGAACACCAGUGGCGAAGGCGGCUUACUGGACUGUAACUGACGUUGAGGCUCGAAAGCGUGGGGAGCAAACAGGAUUAGAUACCCUGGUAGUC